AAGUGCGACCAAAGCCGACAGCGACUGGUGUCGAGGAAGAAGGGGGUCGUUUCAGGCUGUGACAUGGAAGCAGUUUUCUCGAGGAGGAGAGACGAGUUUUACAGACCGUUUGGUGACCGCGCCUCAGCUCUGCCCAGCGUUCACUCUACAAUUGCAGUGAGCACCUGUUAUGUGCAGCGAUCACAGAGAUGAGACCGACCAGAGCCUUACUGUCGAGGAACUGGACAAACAAGAACCCACAGAGGCCCCAGGCUGCUAAAAUACAUCCCAGAGGUCGACAAUCCAGGAGGUGCUUAGCAAAGGACAAGCCAGAGACACGCGGAGCUCAUCAGGCUCUGAGCGCCUGGCUUCCCAGAAAGGUGUCCAGGCUGCCACAGUCCCCCUGCCUAGAGGGCUUCGGGGGCACCGAGGACACGUGCCGACUGUACCAGGUGAGCCCCGGGGAGGCAGGAGGAGAGCCGCAGGAGGCACAGUGGUCCGCACCCCGUUUCUUCCCCGCUGCGCACAGACCGGCCUGCUGGUCCUGACUCGGAUGGCUUCCCGGACCAGCUCCCUGGCAGUUGGAAGGCUGGGCAGACUCCCACGCGGUCCAGUCCCCACGCGCCCCCUGCCUUCCCUGGGCCCUAGAGCA
rnacentral:lncRNA from 1 species